rnacentral:rRNA from 1 species
UACGGAGGGAGCUAGCGUUGUUCGGAAUCAUUGGGCGUAAAGAGCGUGUAGGCGGCUAUUUAAGUCCUGCGUGAAAUCCUGCGGCUCAACCGCAGACGGUCGUGGGAAACUGGAUGACUAGAGUGCGGGAGAGGAGAGUGGAAUUCCCGGUGUAGCGGUGAAAUGCGCAGAUAUCGGGAAGAACAUCAGUGGCGAAGGCGGCCUGCUGGGCUGUUGCUGACGCUGAGGCGCGACAGCGUGGGGAGCAAACAGG